rnacentral:tRNA from 1 species
CCUCUCGUAGCCCAAUUGGCAGAGGCAGUAGUCUAAGAAGCUACACAGUGCAGGUUCGAAUCCAGCCGAGAGGACCA